GGAGAGGUGCCGGAGUGGCCGAACGGGCUUGACUCGAAAUCAAGUGAGGGCUUAUGUCCUCCCAGGGUUCGAAUCCCUGCCUCUCCGCCA
rnacentral:tRNA from 1 species